rnacentral:other from 1 species
AUUUGCGUGCAGACGCUGAAUAUGCGUUAAUAGUUGGGCAUCCGCGAUCGAGGCGGCUGCUUUUUUUAAAGUAAAGGAUAGUAAAAUGAGCAAGUUAACUGGUCAGGUAAAAUGGUUCAACGAGAGCAAAGGUUUUGGUUUCAUCACCCCUGCUGAUGGUUCUAAAGACGUUUUCGUCCAUUUUUCUGCCAUCCAUAGCGAUGGUUUCAAAACUCUGGCUGAAGGUCAGAACGUAGAAUUCACCAUUCAAGACAGCCCACGUGGCCCGUCAGCUGCUAACGUUGUCGCGCUGUAAUCAGUUUUCUGACUUUCUAAGUCAGGCCGCCAAGGUUUUUGGCAACUGAAA